rnacentral:rRNA from 1 species
GAUGAACGCUGGCGGCGUGCCUAAUACAUGCAAGUCGAGCGAACAGACGAGGAGCUUGCUCCUCUGACGUUAGCGGCGGACGGGUGAGUAACACGUGGAUAACCUACCUAUAAGACUGGGAUAACUUCGGGAAACCGGAGCUAAUACCGGAUAAUAUAUUGAACCGCAUGGUUCAAUAGUGAAAGACGGUUUUGCUGUCACUUAUAGAUGGAUCCGCGCCGCAUUAGCUAGUUGGUAAGGUAACGGCUUACCAAGGCAACGAUGCGUAGCCGACCUGAGAGGGUGAUCGGCCACACUGGAACUGAGACACGGUCCAGACUCCUACGGGAGGCAGCAGUAGGGAAUCUUCCGCAAUGGGCGAAAGCCUGACGGAGUAACGCCGCGUGAGUGAUGAAGGUCUUCGGAUCGUAAAACUCUGUUAUUAGGGAAGAACAAAUGUAUAAGUAACUAUGCACGUCUUGACGGUACCUAAUCAGAAAGCCACGGCUAACUACGUG